UGGGGAAUAUUGGACAAUGGGCGAAAGCCUGAUCCAGCCAUGCCGCGUGAGUGAUGAAGGCCUUAGGGUUGUAAAGCUCUUUCGACGGGGACGAUAAUGACGGUACCCGUAGAAGAAGCCCCGGCUAACUUCGUGCCAGCAGCCGCGGUAAUACGAAGGGGGCUAGCGUUGCUCGGAAUCACUGGGCGUAAAGGGCGCGUAGGCGGCCGAUCAAGUCAGAGGUGAAAGCCCAAGGCUCAACCUUGGAAUUGCCUUUGAUACUGUUCGGCUAGAGACCGGAAGAGGUUAGUGGAACUGCGAGUGUAGAGGUGAAAUUCGUAGAUAUUCGCAAGAACACCAGUGGCGAAGGCGGCUAACUGGUCCGGUUCUGACGCUGAGGCGCGAAAGCGUGGGGAGCAAACAGG
rnacentral:rRNA from 2 species